UCUGUACCCCAUCACCAACUCCGCCUCCCUUCUGUAUUCCUACACGUUUUCUCCCAAUCUCCAUCGCAAAUCCCUAAUUUAGGAAGUUAGGGGUUUCGUCCUUCCUCCGGCGAAAACGCCGUCGUCUCGCUCCCUCCGGGGCCUCUCACCUCCGGGUUCCCUUUUCUUCACGGCGAAGUUACAGAUUUGGGGCAUCGCCUCGUCCACUCUCCCGUUCCGAAGGGAACGCCAACUCGGCCGACGCCGAAACUUCAUCAACUCCUUUCACCGGGCUCACCGCCGCGACAGCCGAACCUUCGAGCUCUCCGUUCCAGCGGCGACGCCUCCCGGAUCAGUAGCCGCCGUUUCUUUUUCUUCUGUCGAGCGCCACCUCUGUCGUUGGUCAUCGUCGGGCAGCCCCUCGCACCAGCUACGUCACCCUUUCUCCCUUACUUAUCUCCGUUAAAUUCCGAAUUUUCGACUGACGAUUCAGUUCAAACUUGGGUGUUAUAUUAUUUUGUUCUUCACUGGAAAGGGCUUGGUAUUGUUUGCUAUACUAAAUCCUGCUCCUAUGGUUCUCAUUCUUGGGGUCUACUGAUCUGGAAUUACUCCCUACUUGACUAAGCACUAUUAUCAUCUCUCGGUGCUUGCUCUUCAUACUUGCUAGAGUUAUGAAAUCCUAAGGCCAUGUGUCUAUGUCCUUGGCUAUAUGUGGUUGUUGGUCUACAUGAUGCAACGAGUGUGGUGGUGUUGAGGUGAUUACCUCACUUGGAUGAUUUCUCUCGGCUUGUCGGGGCUGCUCCUAUCUCGCUGUCUCUCCUUCCUCCCUUGCUGCUCCUUUGUUCCUUGAACCUUUGGGAGUCAAAAAGUGGGAGGAAGAGGGUGGUGAUGGGUGGUAUUUAUAGCCGAAAUUCCUUGGCAUUUUGUGUCUAAUUUGGGAUAAAGAUUCCUUCACUUUUGAAUUUGAGCUUAAAGCUUCUAUGUGGAGAGCUCCACUUUCUAUUUUGAGCUAACAACUCACUUCUCUUUUUGAGUUGAGCUAAAAAGCGUUCUUGCCAAAUUUGUGUAAGCUGAUAUCAGCCUUGGGUUUUGUGGAAUAAAAUCUGAUUCACUUCUAUUUUCGGCUAAGGUUUCACCCUCCUUUGUGCUAGUACAUUUGGCCUCUUUUGCCAAAAUCGUGAUAGCCUUGGGGAGUUCACUGUUGACUGAUCUUGGGAGAUUGAGAGGAUCACAUUUGCAGGGAUUUGCUGUUUCAUAUUUCCACCACUAAGUUUGAGCUGGCACUUUGGAGUCUUGCAUCUGCAAAUUCGAGAGAGAUGGUGGGGAAAGAGGAAAAGAAUGGCUUCCUACAACUCUUUGGUUUGAUUGCCACUUGUAGCUAGAAACAAGAUCCUAGGCUUGAGCUUUUAGAGUAGCUAAGAAUAGCAAUUCACCUUUCUUUGUAUAAAAUCAUGUGCUAGAUGCAUCUCCAUUAUUCAUGAAAUUGUAUUUGCUUUUCUCCAAUAAAUUCCAAUAAUCUUUUAUUUCAA